AAAUAAAAAAAAUAAUAUGUGUAGUAAUUCUCCUAAAACAAGUCCUAAAUAGAAAACCUAAAAUCCCUACAAAUAUUUUAAAAUCUGUACAAAAGAAACUCCAAAAUAAAAAAGAGUUUUUACACCCCAUACUAAAAUUUCUAACUUUUUUACUUUUUUAUUACGGGACGAUUUUUUUUCUUCAAAAAUACUGUGUAUUUUUUUCAAACAUAUUAUGUAAAUUUUAUACUGUGUACUGUGUUAAGAGUGGUUAUUUAGUUGUUCUAUUGUUGCUUUAAUUAUUCUAUUAUGUUAUUUUACAGUUGUUUUGUAUAAAAAAAAAGUAUUUUUGUAAAAAUUUCAUAUGACAGUAAAAUUAUAAAUGUUUUUGUCCAAAAUUUAUUUAUUUAUUUUUUUUAGAAAAUUACAUUGUAUACCCAAUUUACUUAACUUAUUUGAAUUUUUACCUCCAUUUUCAUAUUUUUUAGAUAUACCCACUUUUAUGGAUGAUGUCCCCAUUAGAUCCCUUAGGUUAUGUAAAUUAUAUGCUAGACUUAAGUAAAGAGUGAGGGUAUAUUAAGCAAUUUACUCAAAAAAAGUGGGUAUAUUUUAAUAAAAAAAUAAUAUAAGGGUAUUUUUGAUUAAUGAAUACAAAAAAAGAGGUAUUUUUCAACUUACCCUUUUUGUUUUGGUAAAAAUCCCAAAUAAAAAGAGAAAUUUACACAGUUUACUGUGUUUUCCCAUUUUCUUUCUUUUAUACUGUUACACGCCCAAAAUAACUUUUAUACUGUUUUUUUUUUUUUUUUUUGUUUUUUUUUUCGGCUGCCAACAAUUUUAUGUUAUUGUUUUGUUUUUUUUUUUAGAUUGAUUGGGACAUGGGCUCAAUUAUUUAUUUAAUUUUUUAUUUUAAUGGAUAUAAAAGUUAUUAUUUAUUAUUUUUAAUAUUUAAUAAUUAUUAUUUUUGAGAUAAUUUAAUAAUUAUUAUUUUGAUGAAAAUGUUGAUGGGAUGUGUCAUAAAAGUGACAUGUUUUACUUUUUCUUUUAUUUAAAUAAAUUUAAAAAUCACACCCCAUGUCUCAUUCUUUUUUUUUUAUUUAAAUAGAUUUAAAAAUCCCACUCCCAUUUCUCACUAUUCAUCUUCUUCAUCAUCUUUAUCUUCUAGCUUUUCAAAUAAAUCUCACCCCCAUGUUCUAAUAUUCAUCUUCUUCUUCAAGUUUUUUUUUUCUUCAUCUUUACCGUUGUUUUAGUAUUGUUCUACUGUUGUUUUUCAUGAUUUUUAUUUUUUUUUUCAUGUUCAGUUCUUCUUCUUCAUCUUCUUUUCUUUUUUUUUUUUUUUUUUUUUUUUUAAAUUUUUUGAAGUUCUUAGUUAUGUUUUUUUUUGAAAAUAUAAGAGUUAGUGUGGUUUUUUUUUGUUCUAAUUUUCUAGAACUUUUCUUGCAAAUAUAGUGCAUUUAGUAUUGAGGAUGUGCACAACAUAGUUAAUUUUUGAUCAUUUUUUUCUUUUAUUGUUUUUUUUUGUUUUACUAUUGUUUUAGUAUUGUUUUACUGUUGUUUUUCAUGAUUUAUUUAUUUGAUGCCGAUUUCACUGCCCUUGCUCCAUCUCGCUGGAAUUAAUAGGUAUUUUCUGGGUGUUCUCGUGUUGUUGUGAUGGUUAUGUCUGUGAGUGUGGAAGAUGGAGGCUAUAAAUACAUUUCUUCUUCGUUCUCUUUGGCUAUUUUUGUGGUUUUUUUCUUUUGGUUCUCCUAUAAAUAUAUUUGACGAGCUCACUCACAAGAGAGUUUUGAGGUGUGUGUUUCUUUUAUAUUUUUCUUAGUAGUUAUAUUUGCUUCAUUUGUUUUUGUGUUGUUUCAGUGUUGUUUUAGUAGUUUUUUUUUUUUAUAAUUUUCUAGGAAUAGACUUGCAAAUAUAGUUGAUUUUGCAUCUGGUGUUGAGGUUGUGCAGCAGAUUGUUUGUUUUUUUUAAUCAUUUUUUUCUUUUAUUUUGUUUGAUUGUUUUAGUGUUGUUUUACCGUUGUUUUGCCAUGAUUAUUUAUUGACGUCGAUUUUACUGCUUUUGUUUAUUCUUGUCGGAAUUAAUGGUUAUUUUCCGGUGUCCUGGUGUUGUUGUGGUGGUUAUGUCUGUGAUUGUCAAAGAUGGAGGCCUCAUACUUUUGUUUUGGUAUUGACAGUAUAAAAGAAAAAAAAGGGGAGGACAGUAUAAAUGUUAAUUCUGCCGUGUGACAGUAAAAUUGAAAAAUAUUACCCAAAUCCAAUAUUUUUGUAAAAUGCCCAAUAAAAACCCAAUAAGGAUAACAAAUAAAGUUCGGAAAGCCCAUGUAAUUGGGCCCAGUCUAAAUCCAAAACUAGGGUUCGCUUAUAUAUGCUGCUAUACAUCCACGAACCCCAGGUAGACCGCCAUUCUCAUCUGCUUCGCCAAGACGCAGUUUCCCAAGGGAGAGAGGAUUAGGGUUUAGCUUGUCGUAGCCUCACCAUGAGAGCCAAGUGGAAGAAGAAGCGUAUGAGGAGAUUGAAGAGGAAGCGCCGAAAGAUGAGACAGCGAUCUAAGUGAUAGCAGCACCAGCAGCAUUCGUGGCGGCGGCGACUUCGUUUCCUUCGCCUGAACUCACUGCCGUUGGCGUGUCGGUCUCAUCGGUUUUGAUUGUCGUUUUUUCUAUUUAUUUUAUUUCAGUCUGUGUUAGGAGUAAUUUUGAAGCUUUUUGGUUAUGUUAAUAGCCAGAUUUUUGCUACAUUUGCUAGUCGAAUUUUAUUUUGUUUAAACUCAAAUUUCUUAUGAAUCUAUUAUUAGAUUUUUGCUUUGUUCA